rnacentral:rRNA from 1 species
UACGGGGGGGGCAAGCGUUGUUCGGAAUUACUGGGCGUAAAGGGCUCGUAGGCGGCCAACUAAGUCAGACGUGAAAUCCCUCGGCUUAACCGGGGAACUGCGUCUGAUACUGGAUGGCUUGAGUUCGGGAGAGGGAUGCGGAAUUCCAGGUGUAGCGGUGAAAUGCGUAGAUAUCUGGAGGAACACCGGUGGCGAAGGCGGUUCUCUGGGCCUGUACUGACGCUGAGACGCGAAAGCGUGGGGAGCGAACAGG